rnacentral:snRNA from 1 species
GUGCUCGCUUCAGCAGUACAUAUACUAAAAUUGGAACAAUACAGAGAUUAGCAUGGCCCCUGCGCAAGGAUGACCCACAAAUUCGUGAAGCAUUCCAUAUUAAA